GAUGAACGCUGGCGGCGUGCCUAAUACAUGCAAGUCGAGCGAACAGACGAGGAGCUUGCUUCUCUGACGUUAGCGGCGGACGGGUGAGUAACACGUGGAUAACCUACCUAUAAGACUGGGAUAACUUCGGGAAACCGGAGCUAAUACCGGAUGAUAUUUUGAACCGCAUGGUUCAAUAGUGAAAGACGGUCUUGCUGUCACUUAUAGAUGGAUCCGCGCUGCAUUAGCUAGUUGGUAAGGUAACGGCUUACCAGGGCAACGAUGCAUAGCCGACCUGAGAGGGUGGUAGGCCACACUGGAACUGAGACACCGUCCCGACUCCUACGGGGGGGCAGAGUAGGGAAUCUUCCGCAAUGGGGGAAAGCCUGGCGGAGCAAACGCGCGGGAGUUAUAGAAGUGUUCGGAUCGUAAAACCCUGUUUUUGGGGGAAAACCAUUUUGGAAGGUACUGUGGCCAACUUGAAGGUAACUAAUAAAAAAGCCCCGGGUAAAUACGUG
rnacentral:rRNA from 1 species